CUCCAGAUGUUGCUGAACUACAACUCUCAUGAUUCUCAGCCUAUUUUCUUCAUAGAAUCAUGGGAGUUGUAGUUCAGCAACAUCUGGAG